CAAGGGUGGGGGGCGUGCUUACACAGUGCGAGUCGAACGAUGAACCACGUUCGGUGGGGAUUAGUGGCGAACGGGUGAGUAACACGUGGGCAAUCUGCCCUGCACUCUGGGACAAGCCCUGGAAACGGGGUCUAAUACCGGAUACAACCACUAGGGGCAUCUCUUGGUGGUGGAAAGCUCCGGCGGUGCAGGAUGAGCCCGCGGCCUAUCAGCUAGUUGGUGAGGUAAUGGCUCACCAAGGCGACGACGGGUAGCCGGCCUGAGAGGGCGACCGGCCACACUGGGACUGAGACACGGCCCAGACUCCUACGGGAGGCAGCAGUGGGGAAUAUUGCACAAUGGGCGAAAGCCUGAUGCAGCGACGCCGCGUGAGGGAUGACGGCCUUCGGGUUGUAAACCUCUUUCAGCAGGGAAGAAGCGAAAGUGACGGUACCUGCAGAAGAAGCGCCGGCUAACUACGUGCCAGCAGCCGCGGUAAUACGUAGGGCGCGAGCGUUGUCCGGAAUUAUUGGGCGUAAAGAGCUCGUAGGCGGCUUGUCACGUCGGUUGUGAAAGCCCGGGGCUUAACCCCGGGUCUGCAGUCGAUACGGGCAGGCUAGAGUUCGGUAGGGGAGAUCGGAAUUCCUGGUGUAGCGGUGAAAUGCGCAGAUAUCAGAGGAACACCGGUGGCGAAGCGGAUCUCUGGGCCGAUASUGACGCUGAGGAGCGAAAGCGUGGGGAGCAAACAGA
rnacentral:rRNA from 1 species